rnacentral:rRNA from 1 species
UACGGAGGGAGCUAGCGUUGUUCGGAAUUACUGGGCGUAAAGCGCGCGUAGGCGGCUUUGUAAGUUAGAGGUGAAAGCCCGGGGCUCAACCCCGGAACUGCCUUUAAGACUGCAUCGCUUGAAUCCGGGAGAGGUGAGUGGAAUUCCGAGUGUAGAGGUGAAAUUCGUAGAUAUCGGGAGGAACACCAGUAGCGAAGGCGACACUCUGGGCCGAUACUGACGCUGAGGAGCGAAAGCGUGGGGAGCGAACAGG